rnacentral:rRNA from 1 species
AUUGAACGCUGGCGGCAGGCCUAACACAUGCAAGUCGAGCGAGCGGCGGACGGGUGUGUAAUGUCUGGGAAACUGCCUGAUGGAGGGGGAUAACUACUGGAAACGGUAGCUAAUACCGCAUACCAUCAGAUGUGCCCAGAUGGGAUUAGCUAGUAGGUGGGGUAACGGCUCACCUAGGCGACUAUCCCUAGCUGGUCUGAGAGGAUGACCAGCCACACUUGGAGGAAGACACGGUCCAUACUCCUACGGUAGGCAGCAGGGGGGAAUAUUGCACAAGGGGCACAAGCCUGAUGCGGCCAUGCCGCGUAUGUGAAGAAGGCCUGCGGGUUGUAAAGCACUUUCAGCGGGGAGGCGUUACCCGCAGAAGAAGCACCGGCUAACUCCGUGCCAGCAGCCGCGGUAAUAC